rnacentral:miRNA from 10 species
GGCUCCACGAGGGCUGGGCUGGGCUGGGCUGGGCGGAGGGGCGGGGCUCCGCGAGGGCU